GAGAAUUCAACUUCGAAUUCGAUUAAAUUUGAUUCCUAUUUUGAAUUCGAUGAAGCGGAUAUCUGGGCUUCGAAUCACGCAGAUGCAAUAGCAUCACCCCCAGAAUUGAAGAAAAUGAUGAUACACAGAUCAAGAGCUUCGAAGAAAUCGACGAAAAGGGUCGAGAAUGGAGGAGACCAUCAUUUGCCGGAGUUCUGACUUCUUCGUUGCUACCGGUGAACAUCCCAGACUGGUCAAAGAUCCUUAAGGAAGAUUACAGAGAUAGUCACAGGAGAGUUAAUGAAGGUGAUCUUGAUGAUGAUGACUCCAGAAUCCCUCCUCAUGAGUUCUUAGCGAAACAAUUUGCAAGGACUCGGGUUGCU